GACGAACGCUGGCGGCGUGCCUAAUACAUGCAAGUCGAGCGGACUUUCAAGAAGCUUGCUUUUUGAAAGUUAGCGGCGGACGGGUGAGUAACACGUGGGCAACCUGCCUGCAAGACGGGGAUAACUCCGGGAAACCGGGGCUAAUACCGGAUAAUAUCUUCCUUCGCAUGAAGGAAGGUUGAAAGGCGGCGCAAGCUGCCGCUUGCAGAUGGGCCCGCGGCGCAUUAGCUAGUUGGUGAGGUAACGGCUCACCAAGGCGACGAUGCGUAGCCGACCUGAGAGGGUGCGCGGCCAGACUGGGACGGGGACACGGCCCAGACUCCUACGGGAGGCAGCAGUAGGGAAUCGUCCGCAAUGGACGAAAGUCUGACGGAGAAACGCCGCGUGAGCGAAGAAGGUCUUCGGAUCGUAAAGCUCUGUUGUCAGGGAAGAACAAGUACCGUUCGAACAGGGCGGGACCGUGACGGUACCUGGCCAGAAAGCCACGGCUAACUACGUG
rnacentral:rRNA from 1 species